GGCUGUGUGAUGAUGACAUAGCGAACUAUUCUUUCGCCUUUUACUAAAGAAUACCGUGUCAGCGUCACAAAUAGCGGCAUACACUAGUUUUUGGAAGGAUCAUCUUUAUCGAGGACU
rfam:Medicago truncatula strain A17 chromosome 7, whole genome shotgun sequence.